rnacentral:rRNA from 1 species
UACGUAGGGGCCUAGCGUUGUCCGGAUUUAUUGGGCGUAAAGAGCUCGUAGGCGGUUCGGUAAGUCAGGUGUGAAAUCUCCACGCUCAACGUGGAGGCGCCACCUGAAACUGCCGUGACUCGAGUCCGGUAGGGGAGUGUGGAAUUCCCGGUGUAGCGGUGAAAUGCGCAGAUAUCGGGAGGAACACCGGUGGCGAAGGCGGCGUCCUGGACCAACACUGACACUGAGGAGCGAAAGCCAGGGGAGCAAACGGG